rnacentral:rRNA from 1 species
UACAGAGGGUGCAAGCGUUAAUCGGAGUUACUGGGCGUAAAGCGCGCGUAGGUGGUUCGUUAAGUUGGAUGUGAAAUCCCCGGGCUCAACCUGGGAACUGCAUUCAAAACUGUCGAGCUAGAGUAUGGUAGAGGGUGGUGGAAUUUCCUGUGUAGCGGUGAAAUGCGUAGAUAUAGGAAGGAACACCAGUGGCGAAGGCGACCACCUGGACUGAUACUGACACUGAGGUGCGAAAGCGUGGGGAGCAAACAGG